UCCUCCGUAGCUCAAUUGGCAGAGCAACCGGCUGUUAACCGGUAGGUUACUGGUUCGAGUCCAGUCGGGGGAG
rnacentral:tRNA from 1 species